GAUGAACGCUGGCGGCGUGCCUAAUACAUGCAAGUCGAGCGAACGGACGAGAAGCUUGCUUCUCUGAUGUUAGCGGCGGACGGGUGAGUAACACGUGGAUAACCUACCUAUAAGACUGGGAUAACUUCGGGAAACCGGAGCUAAUACCGGAUAAUAUUUUGAACCGCAUGGUUCAAAAGUGAAAGACGGUCUUGCUGUCACUUAUAGAUGGAUCCGCGCUGCAUUAGCUAGUUGGUAAGGUAACGGCUUACCAAGGCAACGAUGCAUAGCCGACCUGAGAGGGUGAUCGGCCACACUGGAACUGAGACACGGUCCAGACUCCUACGGGAGGCAGCAGUAGGGAAUCUUCCGCAAUGGGCGAAAGCCUGACGGAGCAACGCCGCGUGAGUGAUGAAGGUCUUCGGAUCGUAAAACUCUGUUAUUAGGGAAGAACAUAUGUGUAAGUAACUGUGCACAUCUUGACGGUACCUAAUCAGAAAGCCACGGCUAACUACGUGCCAGCAGCCGCGGUAAUACGUAGGUGGCAAGCGUUAUCCGGAAUUAUUGGGCGUAAAGCGCGCGUAGGCGGUUUUUUAAGUCUGAUGUGAAAGCCCACGGCUCAACCGUGGAGGGUCAUUGGAAACUGGAAAACUUGAGUGCAGAAGAGGAAAGUGGAAUUCCAUGUGUAGCGGUGAAAUGCGCAGAGAUAUAGAGGAACACCAGUGGCGAAGGCGACUUUCUGGUCUGUAACUGACGCUGAUGUGCGAAAGCGUGGGGAUCAAACAGGAUUAGAUACCCUGGUAGUCCACGCCGUAAACGAUGAGUGCUAAGUGUUAGGGGGUUUCCGCCCCUUAGUGCUGCAGCUAACGCAUUAAGCACUCCGCCUGGGGAGUACGACCGCAAGGUUGAAACUCAAAGGAAUUGACGGGGACCCGCACAAGCGGUGGAGCAUGUGGUUUAAUUCGAAGCAACGCGAAGAACCUUACCAAAUCUUGACAUCCUUUGACAACUCUAGAGAUAGAGCCUUCCCCUUCGGGGGACAAAGUGACAGGUGGUGCAUGGUUGUCGUCAGCUCGUGUCGUGAGAUGUUGGGUUAAGUCCCGCAACGAGCGCAACCCUUAAGCUUAGUUGCCAUCAUUAAGUUGGGCACUCUAAGUUGACUGCCGGUGACAAACCGGAGGAAGGUGGGGAUGACGUCAAAUCAUCAUGCCCCUUAUGAUUUGGGCUACACACGUGCUACAAUGGACAAUACAAAGGGCAGCGAAACCGCGAGGUCAAGCAAAUCCCAUAAAGUUGUUCUCAGUUCGGAUUGUAGUCUGCAACUCGACUACAUGAAGCUGGAAUCGCUAGUAAUCGUAGAUCAGCAUGCUACGGUGAAUACGUUCCCGGGUCU
rnacentral:rRNA from 1 species